GGGGUAAACCUGCGAAACUCGAAUGAACGAACGGAGAGAUUCAUCGUCAUUCCGCGGCGUACGGACGCGCGCCUCGAUGCUCACCGGCCUCGGUCGGCGGGCACGGGUCGCGUCCGUCGACGCCCGCGGACGGCGUGCACUUCUCUCUUAGUAAAUACAUCGCGACCCGUUCGAUGUCGGUCUAAGCGCCGUACGGGAGCCCCGUUGCCCCUUCGCGGGGGUAGUGGGACCGCGACGGUGGCCGACCGGCCGUCGGACGGUAGUUUUGACGAAUCGCGCACGCGUUUUAGACGCGUCCGGCCCGACGCAAGUCAACGUCGUAUCCAACGUCUACGCCUCAGUGCGGACGUAGGUGCGGCGCGUCUGUCGUCGCCGCCGUGUUGUCUCGGACUGUGCGCGUCUCUGUCUGCGAUGAUUCAGUUUCGGGCACUCGCAGGACCCGUCUUGAAACACGGACCAAGGAGUCUAGCAUGUAUGCGAGUCAUUGAGAUUUAUAUAAACUGAAAGGCGCAACGAAAGUGAAGGCGCGCGCUAGCCGCGCGCUCAGGGAGGAUGGAAAUGCGAUCUAGGUCGCACUCUCGCACUCCCGAGGCGUCUCGUUUCCAAUCCGUGAAUGCAGGCGCGCUC
rnacentral:rRNA from 1 species